rnacentral:rRNA from 1 species
AGUUUUCGGACAAUGGAUGUAGAGGAAAGUGGCGGACGGGUGAGUAACGCGUGAGGAACCUGCCUUGAAGAGGGGGACAACAGUUGGAAACGACUGCUAAUACCGCAUGACGCAUAGGGGUCGCAUGAUCUUUAUGCCAAAGAUUUAUCGCUUCAAGAUGGCCUCGCGUCUGAUUAGCUAGUUGGCGGGGUAACGGCCCACCAAGGCGACGAUCAGUAGCCGGACUGAGAGGUUGAACGGCCACAUUGGGACUGAGAUACGGCCCAGACUCC